AACCCAUGAACAAAUAAUUUUAAUGGUUUUCUUUUCAGCAGACCGUAGUUUUCUCAGAGCUCCACAGUCUCCUCUCUUUGAAGUUGGACAGAUACAGUAAACACAACAAAUAUAUGAUACAACCCAUCACAGCUGGAUUAAAAAAAAAAAUACACAAAAAUAUAAUACAUUAAAAAAACGGGGUUUUUUUUAACAUUGUGGACUGACACAGCUCUAAAAAUGGUGAUUGUAACCCUGGUAAGCUUUACAAAGUCAUUAAAAAAAUAAAACAGUACUUCAUGUGAAAUUCAUAAAUACACUGGAGGAGAACAGAGGGGAUGGGGGGGAUGAGAAAGUGUCUCUGGGUAGCAGGCAGCGUGUGCGGGGGGUGCGGGUGGGCACCCCGGGAUGGAGGGUGCAGGGAUGGAUGCAGGGAUGGAGGGAGAGAUGGAGGCACACACCGGUCCAGUUCAUGAAGAGCUUUGUCCCCCAGCAGGGCCGGGAGCAGGGCACGCCUGUGUUCUAUGGUGGGGAAGUGCUGAGUUUUCAUUCCCAGAGUUUUUAGGUCAGUGAGUGAAAUGGAAGAAAGAAAAAGAACCACAAAACAACAAAGAAGCAUGCUACAUAUGAGAACUCGGCCGGACAGCCCCAGCACAGCCGUGGGAUGGGAUGCCCAUGCCUUUCCCUGGUAUUUUCCCUCUCUCCUUCCCCCAUGCUCUGCUGUUCCUGCUUCAUCCAGCCCCCACCACCAAGCGGCUUCUCUCGGCAGCAAGAAGUUGAAGUCCCCACAUCUCAUGGAACAUGUGGCACCACAAUGGCAGCCAAGGCCCUUUCCCAAGCUUCGGGGCUAUCCCUGCUCCCUACACCCGGCAGCAUCAAGCCUAAACCCCCCCAGUCCCAUCACCCCUGGCUCCAGCACCCCUCAACCCACUCCUGCACCUCCCGCUGCCUUCACUCCACAAGAAACCCGGCCAGACCUGCCCAUCGCAGGCUCCCCGUACCCCUGCCAGCCUCCUGCCACCCUGCUCCAUGCCACCACCUCAAAUCCCAACCUCUGCCCCUCCGCAUCCCUCCUGUGCCCUGGGGCAUGCAGAGCCUCGGGACUGGACACGCUGCCUGGGCUAAUUUUGGGAUGCAGCCACAAAACCACCUCCAAGCAGACCCAGUCCCCUGUUCUGGUGUCCCUACUGUCCUCUGUCCCCUCUCCAUCCCUCUCUGUUCCAAACUCUGCCCGCUUGCAGCCUGGUCCUGCAUUGCACAAUGCGCUUCUCCCUGCUCCAGCUGCCUCCCUGGCUGCUUCCCAUGGGAUACAGGCGAGCCAGCCGGAGCGGCUGUGGGGAGCAGCCGAAACCACAACAGUCAACACCAAAAGAAGUCCAAAAAGGUGAAAUAAACUCC
rnacentral:lncRNA from 1 species